rnacentral:lncRNA from 1 species
CAUCCGAUAAAGACGGUUUGUCUCUUGUUUUCUCUUCUUCUUCCUCUCCUCUGUAUUCUCCUCCAUCUGAGAGAAAACAAUCAAAAAGAAGGAAAACAAAAGAAACAAUCUCAACAAUGGCGGAUCAGCUCACCGACGAUCAGAUCUCUGAGUUCAAGGAAGCCUUCAGCUUAUUCGACAAGGAUGGUGACGGUACGCUUUCUUCUUCAGCCUCAUUUGUGGAAUGCUUAGGAUUUUGCUACUGUGUAUACAUGUGAUUACUUGGCUUCGAUUGAUUUGAUUCUUUGGUUACUGCUC